rnacentral:tRNA from 1 species
GGCACGGUAGCUAAGUAGUAAAGCACUUCUCUGCAAAAGAAGUAUACGUGGGUGCGAUUCCCACCCGUGCCU